AGGAAAUGAAAGGCGAACUGCUCAGUAACACGUAGCUAACCUGCCCUAAUUCUUGGAAUACCGUCGGGAAACUGACAUUAAUACCGAAUAGAAGAUAAUUAUUGGAAUAUGUUAUCUUUGAAGUUAGGAUGGGGCUGCGGCUGAUUAGGUUGUUGGCGGGGUAACUGCCCACCAAGCCGACUAUCAGUAAGGGCUCUUAGCGGAGGGACCCUGAGAGGGAAUCUGAGACACUAUUCCCAGCCCUACGGGGUGCAGCAGUCGGGAAACUUCUGCAAUGCGCGCAAGCGUGACAGAGCAAGCCAGAGUGCUUUCCUAUAAUUGGAAAGCUUUUGUGAGAUGUAAAAAGUCUUACGAAUAAGGACUGGGUAAGACUGGUGCCAGCCGCCGCGGUAAUACCAGCGGUCCAAGUAGCAGCCAUUUUUAUUGGGUCUAAAACAUCCGUAGCUUGUCUUGUAAGUCUUUUGUGAUAUCUAAUAUCUCAAGUAUUAGGCGAGCAAGAGAUACUGCAGGGCUAGAGACCGGGAGGCGUAAGGAGUACGGUUAGGGUAGCGGUUAAAUGCGUUGAUCCUUUCUGGACUAACGAUAGCGAAGGCACCUUACGAGAACGGAUCUGACAGUGAGGGAUGAAGGCUAGGGGCGCAAAACGGAUUAGAUACCCGUGUAGUCCUAGCAGUAAACACUGCACACUAAACAUCAGUACCUCUUCGAGAGGUAUUGGUGCUGAAGGGAAGCCGUAGAGUGUGCUACCUGGGAAGUAUAGUCGCAAGGCCGAAACUUAAAGGAAUAGGCGGCGGGGUACUACAACCAGUGACGCGUGCGGUUCAAUUAGAUUCUACACCGUGAACCUCACCAGGGUCGAUAGCAGAAUGAAGGUCAGUCUAAAGGGCUUACCUGACACGCUAAGAGGAGAUGCAUGGCCGACGUCAGCCUGUGUCGUGAGAUGAUCUGUUAAAUCAGGUAACAGGCGAGACCCGUGUGUAUAUUUGCACGAACAAGAUACAGACUGCCUUGGCAACAAGGAGGAAGGUGCGGGCCACGUUAGGUGAGUACGUCCCGAAUACCCUGGGCUACACGCGCGCGGCAAUGCUGCUUCAAAGAGUUGCGACCCCGAGAGGGGAAGCUAAUCUCAUAAACUGCAGCCUAGUUCAGAUUGAGGGUUGCAACUCACCCUCAUGACGCUGGAAUUGGUAGUAAUCGGAUUUUAUCAGAGUCCGGUGAAUAAGUCAAUGCCCCGUGCACUCACCGCCCGUCAAACCAACCGAGUUUAGCAUUGACGAGGCCCGUCAGGGACGAAUCUUUGUUAGACAAGGUAGGUUAAGUCAGCACAAGGUA
rnacentral:rRNA from 1 species